rnacentral:misc_RNA from 1 species
AAGUCGUAACAAGGUUUCCGUAGGUGAACCUGCGGAAGGAUCAUUAAACAACUAAUAGUCUUUUUACAAAACUAUAUCAACCCUUUGUGAACCAAAAAACCUUUUCGCUUCGGUAGCAGGCUUGGGUGGUGCGGUUUGAAAAAAUCCAACACUCUCAAGCUGUCAGCCUGCCGGCAGCACCAAACAUAAACCUGUUUUAAAACUAUUGUCUGAACAGAAUCAUUUUCGAAUGAAAAUUAAAACUUUCAACAACGGAUCUCUUGGUUCUC